AACAGAGCUAAAGUUAUUUUACAGCCAUGAAGAAAUCAGGAUUCCUUUCUAUAAAUAUGUUUGAAUAAUUUUAAUCUGGUGAAGAUUUGUACUAAUUUCUUAGAGAAAGGAAAAACACAAAUAAAUGAUGAAAAUGUAAAUAAAUAGUUUUUGCUAAAAGGAGAAAUUCAUAUGCCAGGAGCUUGGCUGUCUCUUAAUCAAAAAAAAAAAAGACAUAUGUCAUUGUGAUUUUGCCCUAAAUUAAAUUGAAAAUGUCAUUUUGUUUCAUCAUCAAGACUAUCAUCCAAGGGAGAUGUUUUUGCUAUUGUGAUUUUGCAGAUUGAAAAACCGAGUCUCAGAAAGUUCUAGGACAUCUCCGUGGCAAAGAUGGGAUUGGACCAAGGUCUCUGUGCCUGGUUCUAAAACUCACUCUUUCAUCCAUAGCACACCAACUCUUUUCAAAUAAAGAGAAAGAGGGAAGGAACAGAAUGGAUGGAGAUAUGGGGGCCCUUUUCUUCCAGGUGCCCCAGGAAGGGAAUUUUGGAGUCCACUGAAAUACCAUCCUGGGAAAUGGAGACGCAGAGGGGUUGCACCAUCCUUGUCUUCCACAGUGACUCUCCUACAAACACCUCUCCUCUCCUUCCCCUCUUUGGCUCCAGAAGGAGCCCUCCUCAGUUGGCCUGAAUGCAGCCUUCUGGUGGGAGUGAUGAAAGGCUGUGACAUGCUCUCUCCUCCUUCCUCCUUAUUUUGAUGGCAAGAAUAGAGAGGAACAUUAGAGCUAAAGGAUGUCUUCUUACUGCAAGGCCCCUUUGAUUCUGGAGGAGCCAAAAUGUACCCCAAAGACAAGAAACUGACCAUCCCAAAGGUGUUUGGUCUGGAGAGGCAGGAAUUUCAGCAGGGAGAUUUUAGGUAGACAUUAGCAAUGCAGGGCCAGUGGAUGGAAGCCAGGCAGCAACUUAGGGCUGAUCUCUAUAGGGAUGAGGAGGCCACAGGUGUCCACAGUGACAUGAGUGUGAGCUGCACGCUGCCAUUAAGUCUUCCCCAGGGCAGAGAGAGUCUCAGGCAUCUCUGCACAGUGACUUUGCCUGUUCUUUAGAGUCUUUGUCUGUUCUUAAGAGUCUUUGUUUCAGGUUCGAUGGCCGAGAGGUGGAAGUCUUUCUAGACCCUCCUGCCAACCGGAAAGGGUUCAGAAGUGGGGCUGGGUACAGGAGGAGCAGAACCUUCAGAGACAGCACCCAAGGAACCAGGUUGGCCUCUAAAGAGCACCCCCAAACGCUCUUCCUCACAGCUUUACACGCCUGAGCUGUGACAUUCUG
rnacentral:lncRNA from 1 species